UUGGUUAAGUUAGAAAGGGCGCACGGUGGAUGCCUUGGCACUAGGAGCCGAAGAAGGACGGGACUAACACCGAUAUGCUUUGGGGAGCUGUACGUAAGCGUUGAUCCAGAGAUUUCCGAAUGGGGGAACCCACUAUCUUUAGUCGGAUAGUAUCCUUACGUGAAUACAUAGCGUGAGGAAGGCAGACCCAGGGAACUGAAACAUCUAAGUACCUGGAGGAAGAGAAAGAAAAAUCGAUUUCCUGAGUAGCGGCGAGCGAAACGGAAAGAGCCCAAACCAAGAAGCUUGCUUCUUGGGGUUGUAGGACACUCUAUACGGAGUUACAAAAGAAAGUUAUAAAUGAAGCGGUCUGGAAAGGCCCGCCAAAGACGGUAACAGCCCGGUAGUUGAAAUGGCUUUCCCUCCAGAGUGGAUCCUGAGUACGGCGGAACACGUGAAAUUCCGUCGGAAUCCGGGAGGACCAUCUCCCAAGGCUAAAUACUCCCUAGUGACCGAUAGUGAACCAGUACCGUGAGGGAAAGGUGAAAAGCACCCCGGAAGGGGAGUGAAACAGUUCCUGAAACCGUGUGCCUACAAGUAGUUAGAGCCCGUUAAUGGGUGAUAGCGUGCCUUUUGUAGAAUGAACCGGCGAGUUACGAUUUGUUGCAAGGUUAAGCGGAAAAAGCGGAGCCGUAGCGAAAGCGAGUCUGAAUAGGGCGCAUAAGUAACAGGUCGUAGACCCGAAACCAGGUGAUCUACCCAUGUCCAGGAUGAAGGUAAGGUAAUACUUACUGGAGGUCCGAACCCACGCACGUUGAAAAGUGCGGGGAUGAGGUGUGGGUAGCGGAGAAAUUCCAAUCGAACUUGGAGAUAGCUGGUUCUCUCCGAAAUAGCUUUAGGGCUAGCCUCGAGGUAAAGAGUCAUGGAGGUAGAGCACUGUUUGGACUAGGGGCCCUUCUCGGGUUACCGAAUUCAGAUAAACUCCGAAUGCCAUGUACUUAUACUCGGGAGUCAGACUGCGAGUGAUAAGAUCCGUAGUCGAAAGGGAAACAGCCCAGACCACCAGUUAAGGUCCCCAAAUAUAUGUUAAGUGGAAAAGGAUGUGGGGUUGCUUAGACAACCAGGAUGUUGGCUUAGAAGCAGCCACCAUUGAAAGAGUGCGUAAUAGCUCACUGGUCGAGUGACCCCGCGCCGAAAAUGUACCGGGGCUAAACAUAUUACCGAAACUGUGGAUGAACCUCUUUAGAGGUUCGUGGUAGGAGAGCGUUCUAAGGGCGGUGAAGUCAGACCGGAAGGACUGGUGGAGCGCUUAGAAGUGAGAAUGCCGGUAUGAGUAGCGAAAGAAGGGUGAGAAUCCCUUCCACCGAAUAUCUAAGGUUUCCUGAGGAAGGC
rnacentral:rRNA from 1 species